rnacentral:pre_miRNA from 1 species
UUGUAGUGUGACAUGCCCGAUUGGGUUUUACUCUAAUGUUGAACAAUUAUUAUUUAAUUGAUUUUGGGAAACGGGGUGUUACAUAAUG